GAUGAACGCUGGCGGCGUGCCUAAUACAUGCAAGUCGAGCGAACAGACGAGGAGCUUGCUCCUCUGACGUUAGCGGCGGACGGGUGAGUAACACGUGGAUAACCUAUCUAUAAGACUGGGAUAACUUCGGGAAACCGGAGCUAAUACCGGAUAAUAUAUUGAACCGCAUGGUUCAAUAGUGAAAGACGGUUUUGCUGUCACUUAUAGAUGGAUCCGCGCCGCAUUAGCUAGUUGGUAAGGUAACGGCUUACCAAGGCAACGAUGCGUAGCCGACCUGAGAGGGUAAUCGGCCAAACUGGAACUGAAACACGGUCCAGACUCCUACGGGAGGCAGCAGUAGGGAAGCUUCCGCAAUGGGCGAAAGCUUGACGGAGCAACGCCGCGUGAGUGAUGAAGGUCUUCGGAUCGUAAAACUCUGUUAUUAGGGAAGAACAAAUGUGUAAGUAACUAUGCACGUCUUGACGGUACCUAAUCAGAAAGCCACGGCUAACUACGUG
rnacentral:rRNA from 1 species